UACGGAGGGUGCAAGCGUUGUCCGGAUUUAUUGGGUUUAAAGGGUGCGUAGGCGGCCCGGUAAGUCAGUGGUGAAAGCCUCCAGCUCAACUGGAGAACUGCCAUUGAUACUGCCGGGCUUGAGUACAGACGAGGUUGGCGAAUUGAUUGUGUAGCGGUGAAAUGCAUAGAUACAAUCAAGAACUCCGAUUGCGUAGGCAGCUAACUAGGCUGUAACUGACGCUGAGGCACGAAAGCGUGGGGAGCGAACAGG
rnacentral:rRNA from 1 species